UGAGCCACAGCCACCCACUGCCUCUGCAGGAGACCCUCCAACACUAGCAGACAGUGUCCUCUUCUCCUUGCUCUCCCAAAGGAAGAGAAGAAUGAUCAUCAGUGGCCAAUGGCAGUUGCAGAACCAACACCAAGAACCAGCUUCACACUCAGGAGAGAACAAUAAGCUUCUUCCUCAGAGUUUCAAGUGCUCUGCACAUUCAGAGAAACUUCUCUCAUAAUGAACUACAGAAAUGAUCCCUGAAAACAUAAUCUUUGAAAUUCCUAUUUUCGGUGCAGGCAGUUCCUGACUUAUGGUGGUUCCACGAUUUUUCAACUUUACAAUGAUACAAAAGCAAUAUUCAUCCAGUGGAAACUGUACUUCAAGUUUUGAAUUUUGAUCUUUUCCUGGGCUAGUGAUUUGCCCUAAGAUACUCUCUUGUGAUGCUGGGCAGCGGCAGUGCUGCAGCUCCCAGUCAGCCACGCAAUCACGAGGAUAAACAACUCGUACACUUACAACUAUUCUGUGCCCAUACGCCCAUUCUGUAUUUUUCUUUUCCUUACAGUAUUCAAUAAAUUACAGGUGACAUUUCAACAUUUUAGUACAAAACAGUCUUUGUGUUAGAUGAUUUUGCCCAACAGUAGGCUAAUGUACGUGUUCUGAGUACAUUUAAGGGAGGCUGCACUAAGCUGUGAUGUACAGUAGGUUAGGUAGAUUAAUGUGGUUUCAACUUAAUAUUUUCAACUUAUAAUGGGCUUAUUGAGACUUAAUCCACCGUAAACUGAGAAAGAUCUGUGUUAUACUUCUCUUGAGUCUAUAUAGGGCAAUUGCUACAUAUGUAGGGUGUACAUAUAAUUUAUUUUCUAAAUUGGAGCAAAACUGAGAAAUAAAAGGUGCACUAGAACCUAGGACAAUGCGUGUAAUUGUGACUGUCCCCAGCACACCAAAAUAUCUCAUCACCCUAUAGACAUGUAUUGGAGAAGCACAUUUCUUUCCACGGUUUUUGUGUCCUGAAGGGAAAGAAAUUUCCAGAAUAGUAUGGUAGAAACACUUUUAUCUUUUCUCUGCCUCUUCCCUUAUCCCUCCCCAGAAGAGGAGGAGAUUCAUGAGUCUGGGAGAAAACUGAGCAUGUAAUCUCCAAGUACAACCACUGCCAAAGCAACCAAUGUAAUACUUGAUACUUCCAAAAAUAAAGAUUUUCCCAGAUGCUUGCUGCAGAAGGUUCUGAUAUUAUAUAAAAUGAUAAAUGUUUGCUUGAUAAUUCUAAUUUUCAAUAUCCAUGUGGAGUUUUGAAAAAUUAAAUUGAAAAAUAUCUCUCUCUUCACUACAA